GACGAACGCUGGCGGCGUGCUUAACACAUGCAAGUCGAACGGUGAAGCGCCUUCCUUUUUGGUGGGUGUGGAUGAGUGGCGAACGGGUGAGUAACACGUAAGUAACCUGCCCCCUUCUUCUGGAUAACCGCAUGAAAGUGUGGCUAAUACGGGAUAUUCUGGGUCUGUCGCAUGAUGGGUCUGGGAAAGAUAUUGUUUCGGUGGGGGAUGGGCUCGCGGCCUAUCAGCUUGUUGGUGGGGUGAUGGCCUACCAAGGCGGUGACGGGUAGCCGGCCUGAGAGGGUGGACGGUCACACUGGGACUGAGACACGGCCCAGACUCCUACGGGAGGCAGCAGUGGGGAAUAUUGCACAAUGGGCGCAAGCCUGAUGCAGCGACGCCGCGUGAGGGAUGGAGGCCUUCGGGUUGUGAACCUCUUUCGCCAGUGAAGCAGGCCUGCCUCGUUUGUGGGUGGGUUGACGGUAGCUGGAUAAGAAGCGCCGGCUAACUACGUG
rnacentral:rRNA from 1 species